GUCUCAGUGGAUUUACCUAGAGAUCCCGUAUCCCCAGAUUACUUUGAGCCCGUGGAAGCUACCUCUCUCUAACAAGGACCAGCACUCUCUUUGCUUAAAGACAACUCCACCGCAUGACCACGUGCCUUCCUAACCAUGAGACCAAUAACCAGGGUAACAUAACAACAUACCCGAACCAGAGGCAAGCCUGGGCCUGACAAGGAAGGAAAGGGCUUUUACAGAGGAGCUGCAGAGCCUAACACCAUGCAUCAGUAGCUGUUGGGAAAGCACAUGUUAGGACAAUAGUCUGAAGGUCUGGGAUCAACAGGACCCAGGGGAAAAACGGGAAAGGGAAGAAAGAGAUGUCCAUUUGGGACCCAUCUCAGGACGGCAACAGAACUUUCUAAGAAGGUUCUUAGAAGCCUGAAGAAACGAGUGGUCCAUAGCAGAGGUAGAAAUGUCAGAAUUCCCACAGCAGUGAGAGAGGAGACCGAAAGGUGCCAAGGUAUCCAAUCAAAAGCUGAAAUGCACUCCUGGGAAAGACAGCAAUUCAUAACAUGUAAUUAUAAAAGUAAUUGAGAAAGACCUCAGGGAUGCAGGCUGGUGGUCCUCAUCACAUCUCCGUUUAAUCAUCAAUCUGAAGCCUGUGAAAGUCAGACCUGGAGAACGACAAGAGUGCCACAGUCAAGCAAGAAGCAGCCCCACAAUGGCUGCUGUGCCUGGUGUGGUACCUUUGCUAGAGCAAACACAGAUAUCCUCAGGUAUGAAAGUAUAGCAUCCUAGGCCGAUAGGUGCACUCUCUUCCAUCAGAACAGUUGAUUCACUGGGAACACAGCAUUCUGCAUCGACAAUCUGGGCCCAGAGUUAUGUUAAUGCUCUUGCUCUUGGCAUGAUACAUCCCCAAGAGACUUGGACCGGCUGGAUACUGAUGACAUCAUGCUCGCUGAACCAUCCGAGCAAGAAGAGACUAGUGAUCUUGAGGCUUUUGGAACACGUUCAUUCCAGAGAGUGGAAGAAAAAUCUCCAUGAAGAAUUAGAAGUCAGGGGUGGAGGGAUGGCUCAGCGGUAAAGGACAUACACUGCUCUUACAGAGGACCUGAGUGCAGUUCCUGGCACUCAUGGCAGGUGGCUUACAACUGCAGUUACCUGAAUGCUCAUGCAUCCACAUAAUUAAAAAUAAAUCCAUAUUUGGGGCUAGAGAAA